AGAGUUUGAUCCUGGCUCAGAUUGAACGCUGGCGGCAUGCCUUACACAUGCAAGUCGAACGGCAUCACGGCAGCAAUCCUGGUGGCGAGUGGCAGACGGGUGAGAAAUAUAUCGGAACGUGCCCAGUCGUGGGGGAUAACGUAUAGAAAUUUACGCUAAUACCGCAUACGAUCUAAGGAUGAAAGCGGGGGAUCGCAAGACCUCGCGCGAUUGGAGCGGCUGAUAUCAGAUUAGGUUGUUGGUGAGGUAAAAGCUCACCAAGCCGACGAUCUGUAUCUGGUUUGAGAGUACGACCAGCCACACUGGGACUGAGACACGGCCCAGACUCCUACGGGAGGCAGCAGUGGGGAAUUUUGGACCAUGGGCGAAAGCCUGAUCCAUCAAUGCCGCGUGCAGGAAGAAGGCCUUCGGGUUGUAAACUGCUUUUGUACGGAACGAAACGGUCUGCCCUAAUACGGUGGGCUAAUGACGGUACCGUAAGAAUUAUCACCCGCUAACUAAUUGCCAGCAGCCGC
rnacentral:rRNA from 1 species